CUACGGGGGGCAGCAGUGAGGAAUAUUGCACAAUGGGGGGAACCCUGAUGCAGCAACGCCGCGUGGAGGAUGACGCAUUUCGGUGUGUAAACUCCUUUUAUAUGUCAAGAAAAUGACGGUAGCAUAUGAAUAAGCACCGGCUAACUCCGUGCCAGCAGCCGCGGUAAUACGGAGGGUGCAAGCGUUACUCGGAAUCACUGGGCGUAAAGGAUGCGUAGGCGGGUUGGAAAGUCAGGUGUGAAAUCCUACAGCUUAACUGUAGAACUGCACUUGAAACUUCUAAUAUAGAGUAUGGGAGGGGGAGAUGGAAUUAGUGGUGUAGGGGUAAAAUCCGUAGAUAUCACUAGGAAUACCUAAAGCGAAGGCGAUCUCCUGGAACAUUACUGACGCUAAGGCGUGAAAGCGUGGGGAGCAAACGGGAUUAGAUACCCCAGUAGUC
rnacentral:rRNA from 1 species